UGUGGGGCCUGGGUGGAAAUAAACACUCAGAAAAACAACCUUUCCCCUCUCUCCGCCUGCCUUCCCGUCAUAACAACGCUAACUCUUCUGCGGGCCAAGUGAAUCCUUCUGCCCACUCGGGCAGAGGUCAGGAAGUGCGGAAGAGAAGGAAAACAAUUAAGAUUUCUAGACGUCCUUGCAAGACAGCCUUUGCUUAAUUCCGUGCAGUUGUCGGGGUUGCACAGAAAAGUGGGAUAAUUGAGAGCAUGGUGACCUUUGGAACUUCUCCGGAUGGCAAUUAUUAAAGGAAGAAGCCGCAGGUUUGGGGACAGUGAGAUGGCUCAGGCGUGGCUUCCGGUCUUGAGAGUCCGAGUUCGAAACUCUGGGAUACACACAGUGGAAGGAGAGAACCAACUCCUACCAAUUGCCCUCUGCCACUCGCAUGUGUGCCCACCCCUGGAAUUAAUUUUUUAAAAGUUAACAAAGCCCUCCCCAAGUUCUGGAAGGACCGAGAAAUAAGCGUGGCUGGCACGGCAGGCGUUUGAAGCACCACCGAGUGUGUCAGCUGACCGACUGCACAGCGUCCACCUGCGGGGACUGCAAGACACACAUGUUCAGCCCUGGAGCCAUUCUGAAUGGGGGAUGUAUGAGAGCCUCGAUUCCUGGAAACCUCUGCUCUUACAGAUAAUGAGAUUCAAAAUUCAUCAUCAUGAUUGCACAUUAAUUCCAUAAUUAGAAAAUAUUUAAUAGGAGACACGGAGUCUGCCAGCUCUAAUUGGACCAAGAGAGCCUUCAUCCAGUAACUGAUGGAAGCAGAUGCAGAGA